UACGUAGGGUGCAAGCGUUAAUCGGAAUUACUGGGCGUAAAGCGUGCGCAGGCGGUUUUGUAAGACUGUCGUGAAAUCCCCGGGCUUAACCUGGGAAUGGCGAUGGUGACUGCAAGGCUAGAGUUUGGCAGAGGGGGGUAGAAUUCCACGUGUAGCAGUGAAAUGCGUAGAUAUGUGGAGGAACACCGAUGGCGAAGGCAGCCCCCCGGGUCAAAACUGACGCUCAUGCGCGAAAGCGUGGGGAGCAAACAGG
rnacentral:rRNA from 1 species